rnacentral:misc_RNA from 1 species
AACGCACAUUGCGCCCUUUGGUAUUCCAAAGGGCAUGCCUGUUCGAGCGUCAUUUGUACCCUCAAGCUUUGCUUGGUGUUGGGUGUUUGUCCUGAGGGACUCGCCUUAAAGUAAUUGGCAGCCAGUGUUUGGUUUUGAAGCGCAGCACAAGUCGCGAUUCAAGGCUAUACACCAGCUUCCACAAGCCUUUUUCACUUUUGACCUCGGAUCAGGUAGGGAUACCCGCUGAACUUAA